UUUGCUGAGGGACUUUUAUUUUGAAAAGGCCUCUGCCGCUGGAAGGAGAGUCAGUUCCCUGCCCCCACUGACAGACCUCUUCCUUCUCCCUCUGGGUUGUUUCAAGCGGUGUGGCAGUGUGUGAGUAAGACAAUAAAUUAUGUGCAGCACCACCAUCACUACUCACCACACCGGCAACAACAAAGACCUGAGCCCUAGGACCGUGCCCCAGGACUACCUGACAUGAUGAAUCCUUGCUGUCCCCAGUCCACCUGACUGUGCUGCUGCUCCAGUUUCAACUGUUCUGUCUUAUUAUUAUUCGACCAUGCUGGUCAUUUAUGAACAUUUGAACAUCUUGGUCAUGUUCUGUUAUAAUCUCUACCCGGCACAGCCAGAAGAGGACUGGCCACCCCACAUAGCCUGGUUCCUCUCUAGGUUUCUUCCUAGGUUUUGGCCUUUCUAGGGAGUUUUUCCUAGCCACCGUGCUUUUACACCUGCAUUGUUUGCUGUUUGGGGUUUUAGGCUGGGUUUCUGUACAGCACUUUGAGAUAUCAGCUGAUGUACGAAGAGCUAUAUAAAUAAAUUUGAUUUGAUGUUGCACAA